GUUCCAUUAAACUAUUGCUCAAAAUAGGCCGAGAUGAUAAUGCAACCUUGCUUUCCCUUUUGUAGUUAUUCUUUUGAGGUGGAUCAUGACUGUGGAUUCCUUUAUUAACAAUCUCAAUCACGUGGCCUGAAUGAUCUGAACACUCGAUCUUUUUGGCACAACAGUCAGAGUAUGUGCACCUGUAAUAGCUUCGAGAACCUUUAGGACUCUUCACUUG
rnacentral:misc_RNA from 1 species